UGAUGAACGCUAGCUACAGGCUUAACACAUGCAAGUCGAGGGUCAGCAUGGUCUUAGCUUGCUAAGGCCGAUGGCGACCGGCGCACGGGUGAGUAACACGUAUCCAACCUGCCGUCUACUCUUGGACAGCCUUCUGAAAGGAAGAUUAAUACAAGAUGGCAUCAUGAGUCCGCAUGUUCACAUGAUUAAAGGUAUUCCGGUAGACGAUGGGGAUGCGUUCCAUUAGAUAGUAGGCGGGGUAACGGCCCACCUAGUCUUCGAUGGAUAGGGGUUCUGAGAGGAAGGUCCCCCACAUUGGAACUGAGACACGGUCCAAACUCCUACGGGAGGCAGCAGUGAGGAAUAUUGGUCAAUGGGCGAGAGCCUGAACCAGCCAAGUAGCGUGAAGGAUGACUGCCCUAUGGGUUGUAAACUUCUUUUAUAAAGGAAUAAAGUCGGGUAUGGAUACCCGUUUGCAUGUACUUUAUGAAUAAGGAUCGGCUAACUCCGUGCCAGCAGCCGCGGUAAUACGGAGGAUCCGAGCGUUAUCCGGAUUUAUUGGGUUUAAAGGGAGCGUAGAUGGAUGUUUAAGUCAGUUGUGAAAGUUUGCGGCUCAACCGUAAAAUUGCAGUUGAUACUGGAUAUCUUGAGUGCAGUUGAGGCAGGCGGAAUUCGUGGUGUAGCGGUGAAAUGCUUAGAUAUCACGAAGAACUCCGAUUGCGAAGGCAGCCUGCUAAGCUGCAACUGACAUUGAGGCUCGAAAGUGUGGGUAUCAAACAGGAUUAGAUACCCCGGUAGUCCACACGGUAAACGAUGAAUACUCGCUGUUUGCGAUAUACGGCAAGCGGCCAAGCGAAAGCGUUAAGUAUUCCACCUGGGGAGUACGCCGGCAACGGUGAAACUCAAAGGAAUUGACGGGGGCCCGCACAAGCGGAGGAACAUGUGGCUUAAUUCGAUGAUACGCGAGGAACCUUACCCGGGCUUAAAUUGCAGAUGAAUUACGGUGAAAGCCGUAAGCCGCAAGGCAUCUGUGAAGGUGCUGCAUGGUUGUCGUCAGCUCGUGCCGUGAGGUGUCGGCUUAAGUGCCAUAACGAGCGCAACCCUUGUUGUCAGUUACUAACAGGUUCCGCUGAGGACUCUGACAAGACUGCCAUCGUAAGAUGUGAGGAAGGUGGGGAUGACGUCAAAUCAGCACGGCCCUUACGUCCGGGGCUACACACGUGUUACAAUGGGGGGUACAGAGGGCCGCUACCACGCGAGUGGAUGCCAAUCCCCAAAACCUCUCUCAGUUCGGACUGGAGUCUGCAACCCGACUCCACGAAGCUGGAUUCGCUAGUAAUCGCGCAUCAGCCACGGCGCGGUGAAUACGUUCCCGGGCCUUGUACACACCGCCCGUCAAGCCAUGGGAGCCGGGGGUACCUGAAGUGCGUAACCGCGAGGAGCGCCCUAGGGUAAAA
rnacentral:rRNA from 1 species